UGUGCCUUAACUCAGUUGGUAGAGUAUCUGACUUUUAAUCAGAGAGUCAUGGGUUCGAGUCCCAUAGGUACAAC
rnacentral:tRNA from 1 species